GUUCUGAAGGUGAAGCACUAACAUAAAAUAUUUAACCAGCACUUCAAUGAAAUUUCCAGGUUUUAAGCAUAAACAUGAUGAAGAGAAAGGUUUGAAAUUGGAAAACUGUGUUCAUUGUUGCAAUACUUGAACAACAACAGCAUGAACAUAUACAUUAAAGUACAUUUCUGAAUAAAAGUUGUAACAUUUGACUUGUGUUGAC
rnacentral:lncRNA from 1 species